AAAAGUGCAAUGGCGGCUCUCGAACACCUCUUGGUUCCCAUGUUGCACCACAUCGACAGCGUCCGGGACACUGAACGCCAGAUUGCUGCUACUGAGGCCUUCGUGAAGGAGAAAUGGGAGUUGGUGACGCAUGCCCACGCAGAGGUCACCAAUAUGUUGGGGGCUAUGAAGGAGAGGAAGAAGGAAUUAACCUUCAAACAAACACGGGCCACUGAGAUACGUCAACAAAUUGAUGCCCUUCGACGUCAAAUUGCUACUAUGGACAGUGAGUUGGAGUCAAUUACCCAGG
rnacentral:lncRNA from 1 species